GCAACAUUCUUCGUUCCUCCGAAACAGGUUUACUGAAUCGGAGUUCCACAUACUGUCGAUCAUCUGAAUAAAUUCUUGGUGCAAAUAGUUCCGAGGGAUUGAGCUUCAUAUUAACAGUAGGAAGUUUCAGACAGUAAAAAUCCCAGAAAUAUCC